rnacentral:rRNA from 1 species
UCAUGGCUCAGGAUGAAUGCUGCGGCGUGCUUAACACAUGCAAGUCGAGCGAGAGAGUCUCUCGGAGACAAUCUAGCGGCGGACGGGUGAGUAACACGUGGGCAACCUGCCUUGUAGUGGGGGAUAGCCCUCCGAAAGGAGGAUUAAUACCGCAUAUUGUCACAUUGAGGCAUCUCAAAGUGAUGAAAGGAGUAAUCCGCUGCAAGAUGGGCCCGCGGCGCAUUAGCUAGUUGGUGAGGUAACGGCUCACCAAGGCGACGAUGCGUAGCCGACCUGAGAGGGUGAUCGGCCACAUUGGGACUGAGACACGGCCCAGACUCCUACGGGAGGCAGCAGUGGGGAAUAUUGCACAAUGGGGGAAACCCUGAUGCAGCAACGCCGCGUGAGUGAUGAAGGUCUUCGGAUUGUAAAGCUCUGUCUUCGGGGACGAUAAUGACGGUACCCGAGGAGGAAGCCACGGCUAACUACGUGCCAGCAGCCGCGGUAAUACGUAGGUGGCAAGCAUUAUCCGGAUUUACUGGGCGUAAAGGGUGCGUAGGCGGAUUUUUAAGUGAGAUGUGAAAUACCCGGGCUCAACCUGGGGGCUGCAUUUCAAACUGGAAAUCUAGAGUGCAGGAGAGGAAAGUGGAAUUCCUAGUGUAGCGGUGAAAUGCGUAGACAUUAGGAAGAACACCAGUGGCGAAGGCGACUUUCUGGACUGUAACUGACGCUGAGGCACGAAAGCGUGGGGAGCAAACAGGAUUAGAUACCCUGGUAGUCCACGCCGUAAACGAUGGAUACUAGGUGUGGGAGGUUUAACUCCUUCCGUGCCGCCGUUAACACAUUAAGUAUCCCGCCUGGGGAGUACGGUCGCAAGAUUAAAACUCAAAUGAAUUGACGG